rnacentral:rRNA from 1 species
CCUACGGGUGGCAGCAGUGGGGGAUAUUGCACAAUGGGGGGAACCCUGAUGCAGCGACGCCGCGUGGGUGAAGAAGCGCCUCGGCGCGUAAAGCCCUUUCAGCAGGGAGGAAAAUGACGGUACCUGAAUAAGAAGCCCCGGCUAACUACGUGCCAGCAGCCGCGGUAAUACGUAGGGGGCAAGCGUUAUCCGGAUUUACUGGGUGUAAAGGGGGCGCAGACGGCGAUGCAAGCCAGGAGUGAAAGCCCGGGGCCCAACCCCUGGACUCAUCUUGAAACUGCGUGGCUGGAGUGAAGAAGGGGAAGGCGGAAUGCCUGGUGUAGCGGUGAAAUGCGUAGAUAUCAGGAGGAACACCGGUGGCGAAGGCGGCCUGCUGGACUGCAACUGACGUUGAGGCCCGAAAGCGUGGGGAGCAAACAGGAUUAGAUACCCUUGUAGUC